GACAGAGGAGCCAAGCGUUGUUCGGAUUUACUGGGCGUGAAGGGCGCGUAGGCGGCCACCGCAAGUCGACUGUGAAAUCUCCGGGCUUAACCCGGAAAGGUCAGCCGAUACUGCGGGGCUAGAGUGCAGAAGGGGCAACUGGAAUUCUCGGUGUAGCGGUGAAAUGCGUAGAUAUCGAGAGGAACACCUGCGGCGAAGGCGGGUUGCUGGGCUGACACUGACGCUGAUGCGCGAAAGCUAGGGGAGCGAACGGG
rnacentral:rRNA from 1 species